GAACGCUGGCGGCGUGCUUAACACAUGCAAGUCGAACGCUGAAGCACCAGCUUGCUGGUGUGGAUGAGUGGCGAACGGGUGAGUAAUACGUGAGUAACCUGCCCUUGACUCUGGGAUAAGCCCGGGAAACUGGGUCUAAUACUGGAUGCUACAUGUCACCGCAUGGUGGUGUGUGGAAAGGGUUUACUGGUCUUGGAUGGGCUCACGGCCUAUCAGCUUGUUGGUGAGGUAAUGGCUCACCAAGGCGACGACGGGUAGCCGGCCUGAGAGGGUGACCGGCCACACUGGGACUGAGACACGGCCCAGACUCCUACGGGAGGCAGCAGUGGGGAAUAUUGCACAAUGGGCGAAAGCCUGAUGCAGCGACGCCGCGUGAGGGAUGACGGCCUUCGGGUUGUAAACCUCUUUCAGCAGGGAAGAAGCCACAAGUGACGGUACCUGCAGAAGAAGCGCCGGCUAACUACGUGCCAGCAGCCGCGGUAAUACGUAGGGCGCAAGCGUUGUCCGGAAUUAUUGGGCGUAAAGAGCUCGUAGGCGGUUUGUCGCGUCUGCUGUGAAAGCCCGGGGCUUAACCCCGGGUGUGCAGUGGGUACGGGCAGACUAGAGUGCAGUAGGGGAGACUGGAAUUCCUGGUGUAGCGGUGGAAUGCGCAGAUAUCAGGAGGAACACCGAUGGCGAAGGCAGGUCUCUGGGCUGUUACUGACGCUGAGGAGCGAAAGCAUGGGGAGCGAACAGGAUUAGAUACCCUGGUAGUCCAUGCCGUAAA
rnacentral:rRNA from 1 species